AGGACUAUACUUUCAGGGAUCAUUUCUGUAGUUGGUAACUAGAGGAGUGUGAUCGAAAGUGUCCGGCGUCACAAGCCACGAGGAGGAGCUGCGUGCUGUCUCCUGAGCGCGAGGCGGGCGGGAGGGCGGCGCUGCUGCAGUGCAGGGGCCUCCCGCCAUCGAUGACCGUUCCCGACUCCUUUAUGGGGUCUGGGAGGGAGAGAGCACAGGCUGAGUGGU
rnacentral:snoRNA from 1 species